rnacentral:rRNA from 1 species
GACGAACGCUGGCGGCGUGCUUAACACAUGCAAGUCGAACGGAAAGGCCCUGCUUUUGUGCGGUGCUCGAGUGGCGAACGGGUGAGUAACACGUGAGUAACCUGCCCUUGACUUUGGGAUAACUUCAGGAAACUGGGGCUAAUACCGGAUAGGAGCUCCUGCUGCAUGGUGGGGGUUGGAAAGUUUCGGCGGUUGGGGAUGGACUCGCGGCUUAUCAGCUUGUUGGUGGGGUAGUGGCUUACCAAGGCUUUGACGGGUAGCCGGCCUGAGAGGGUGACCGGCCACAUUGGGACUGAGAUACGGACCAGACGCCAACGGGAGGCAGCAGUGGGGAAUAUUGCACAAUGGGCGGAAGCCUGAUGCAGAAACGCCGCGUGCGGGAUGACGGCCUUCGGGUUGAAAACCGCUGUCGCCUGUGACGAAGCGUGAGUGACGGUAAUGGGUAAAGAAGCACCGGCUAACUACGUG